UACGUAGGGUGCGAGCGUUGUCCGGAAUUAUUGGGCGUAAAGAGCUCGUAGGCGGUCUGUCGCGUCUGCUGUGAAAACCCGAGGCUCAACCUCGGGCCUGCAGUGGGUACGGGCAGACUAGAGUGCGGUAGGGGAGAAUGGAAUUCCUGGUGUAGCGGUGGAAUGCGCAGAUAUCAGGAGGAACACCGAUGGCGAAGGCAGUUCUCUGGGCCGUAACUGACGCUGAGACGCGAAAGCGUGGGGAGCAAACAGG
rnacentral:rRNA from 1 species